AUGAGCCUGCAUAUCUUUAACGUUAUUUACUCAUGGGUAGAUUACUGGGAUAUGCCAAACAGAAGCUUACUCCAUAUAUCAGCACAGCAAAGAGGAACUGGUGUUGAAUUAAAGAUUACAUUUCAGCUUGAUAAGCCCUCUAUUCCCAGUCCCAGCAUGACUGUGCACAGUGACACAACGGAAGGGGUGCUGUAAGUGAAACAUGGCGUCUCCUCACAAAGUGGCAAAACCGAAGGGACAGGAUGCAGCAACAUGAAGUCAGGACAAACAGCAGGGGGAUGCUGGGAGUUCCUGCAGUUGGCAACAUCUGCAUGGGGAACGGCAGCCUUGGAUUUCUG
rnacentral:lncRNA from 1 species